ACACCGGCGGCCCGAGUGGUGAUCGUGAUUAUUGGGUCUAAAGGGUCCGUAGCCGGUUUGGUCAGUCCUCCGGGAAAUCUGAUAGCUCAACUAUUAGGCUUUCGGGGGAUACUGCCAGACUUGGAACCGGGAGAGGUAAGAGGCACUACAGGGGUAGGAGUGAAAUCUUGUAAUCCCUGUGGGACCACCUGUGGCGAAGGCGUCUGACCAGAACGGUUUGGGCGGGGAGGGACGAAGGCUGGGGGCAGGAACCGGAUUAGAUCCCCGGGUAGUCCCAGCCGUAAACGAUGCUCGCUAGGUGUCAGGCAUGGCGCGACCGUGUCUGGUGCCGCAGGGAAGCCGUGAAGCGAGCCACCUGGGAAGUACGACCGCAAGGCUGAAACUUAAAGGAAUUGGCGGGG
rnacentral:rRNA from 1 species